GCCAGCAUGGUGUAAUGGUCUGAGAGCUGGACUAUGAUUCUUGAGACCAGGGUUCAAAUCCCUGCUCAGCCA